rnacentral:rRNA from 1 species
GGAGGGUGCAAGCAUUAAUCGGAAUUAUUGGGCGUAAAGGGCGCGUAGGCGGAUGUAUAAGUCAGAUGUGAAAUUCCGAGGCUCAACUUCGGAACUGCAUUUGAAACUAUACGUCUAGAGGAUUGGCGGAGAAAACGGAAUUCCACGUGUAGCGGUGAAAUGCGUAGAUAUGUGGAAGAACACCUGUGGCGAAAGCGGUUUUCUAGCUAUUUCCUGACGCUGAGGCGCGAGAGCAAGGGGAGCAAACAGGAUUAGAUACCCUGGUAGUCCUUGCCGUAAACGAUGUAUACUUGAUGUAGGUGGGCUCAACCCUGUCUGUGUCGAAGCUAACGCGAUAAGUAUACCGCCUGGGGAGUACGCUCGCAAGAGUG